CUAGUAAUCGCGAAAUCAGAAUGUCGCGGUGAAUACGUUCCCGGGCCUUGUACACACCGCCCGUCACACCAUGAGAGUCGAUAACACCCGAAGCCUGUGAGCUAACCUUUCAGGAGGCAGCAGUCGAAGGUGGGUUNAUGAUUGGGGUGAAGUCGUAACAAGGUAAC
rnacentral:rRNA from 1 species